AACGAACGCUGGCGGCAGGCCUAACACAUGCAAGUCGAGCGCGCCCUUCGGGGUGAGCGGCGGACGGGUGAGUAACGCGUGGGAACGUGUCCUUUUCUACGGAAUAGCCUCGGGAAACUGAGAGUAAUACCGUAUACGCCCUUUGGGGGAAAGAUUUAUCGGAAAAGGAUCGGCCCGCGUUGGAUUAGGUAGUUGGUGGGGUAAUGGCCUACCAAGCCGACGAUCCAUAGCUGGUUUGAGAGGAUGAUCAGCCACACUGGGACUGAGACACGGCCCAGACUCCUACGGGAGGCAGCAGUGGGGAAUCUUAGACAAUGGGGGCAACCCUGAUCGAGCCAUGCCGCGUGAGUGAUGAAGGCCUUAGGGUUGUAAAGCUCUUUCAGCUGGGAAGAUAAUGACGGUACCAGCAGAAGAAGCCCCGGCUAACUCCGUG
rnacentral:rRNA from 1 species